rnacentral:rRNA from 1 species
GAUGAACGCUGGCGGCGUGCCUAAUACAUGCAAGUCGAGCGAACAGAUGAGGAGCUUGCUCCUCUGACGUUAGCGGCGGACGGGUGAGUAACACGUGGAUAACCUACCUAUAAGACUGGGAUAACUUCGGGAAACCGGAGCUAAUACCGGAUAAUAUAUUGAACCGCAUGGUUCAAUAGUGAAAGACGGUUUUGCUGUCACUUAUAGAUGGAUCCGCGCCGCAUUAGCUAGUUGGUAAGGUAACGGCUUACCAAGGCAACGAUGCGUAGCCGACCUGAGAGGGGGAUAGGCCACACUGGAGCGGAGACACGGUCCAGACUCCUACGGGAGGCAGCAGUAGGGAAUCUUCCGCAAUGGGCGAAAGCCUGACGGAGCAACGCCGCGUGAGAGAUGAAGGUCUUCGGAUCGUAAAACUCUGUUAUUAGGGAAGAACAAAUGUGUAAGUAAAUAUGCACGUCUUGACGGUACCUAAUCAGAAAGCCACGGCUAACUACGUG